UUUUAUGUACAUGCCUAUAGCGUUAAUGCACCGGAUCGCAUAAGAACUCCAUAGUUAAGCGCGUUUGGGCUAGAGUAGUACUAGGAUGGGUGUUCGACAACACAGGUAUUCCAACAAA
rfam:Picea glauca, whole genome shotgun sequence.